rnacentral:lncRNA from 1 species
UGUUCUGUGUAUAACAGAAAAAAAGGUACAACACUCCAAAAUGGUGAAAUAUUGUCAAAACAGGGAAGAUUAAAGCCAACAAAAGUUGCCUUUACCUAUCUUUCUCUUUCUGUCUCUGUGUCUCUCCCUGUUUCUCUAUUAUAUACAUACACAAUAUGAUAUAUAAUUAUGUGAAAUGCUAUUCUUUCUUUCUCUUUUUCUGUUUCUCUUUGCAAAUUUCUGUCACUUAUCCUAGUUAUUUAUUUGUCAUGUUUCAGUGACACAAUAGAACAUUAUUAUGUGUAAGAAAUACAGCUAUUGGGCUGGAGAGAUGGCUCAGCCGUUAAAGGCAAGGCUCAUAACCAAAAAUAUAUGAAAUAGAACUGUUAUAUAUUGCAUCGUGUCAAUGGGCCUGGUGAUUUUGAUAUCCCUUGUGAUGGUCUGGAACCGGUGAUAAGGAUACAAGAACAGGAAUGGGUCGUGUGGGAAACAGCAAUAUUGUUAGUUAUCUUGGAUGCCAAAGUAAUGCAAACCAUGUCUUCUCUGUAAAUUCAAACUUUGAAAGUUUAUGGUCAAUGCAACUUUCAGUCAGUAUAGAUAAGAUUCAUUUAGAAAGAUGCCAUGUGUUUAAAUCUAUCUGCAUAGUGACUGUGUUACCAAAAUAUGGGCGUAAAAGAAGAUACCAAGGCAGGUUUUCAUUUAAAAGAUAUAGAUUGUUAUUGUUUCCUAAUAAAAGGAAACUUAUAAAAUGAUGCAGACUGAAAAAUAUACUGAGUACAUCUUUUUUUGCAAGAUGUGUAAAGAUGAUGUGAUGGGACUCUAAUACUUUAUAUGAGGUACUUGCUCUCCUAAAGGAAUUACAAUGUAAAUAUCUUUUCCUUUUUAUUGAAUAUUUUAUGUAUUUAAGUUUAAAUGUUAUCCCCUUUCCUGGUUUCCCUUCUGGAUCCCCUCUCUCCCGUCCUCCCUCUUCCUGCUUCUAUGAGGAUGCUUCCCCUCCCACCCUCACCACCCUGCCAUUCGCCUACACUGGGGAAAUCUAGCCUUCACAGGACCAACAGCUUCUCACAGGGUCCCUAAUGGAGGUUUUAGAGAAAGGACUGAAGGAGCUGAAAGGGUUAAUACCUUUUCAAAGACAGUUUUAAUGAGAUCAUUUUGGUCAUCCAUCCUUCAUGGAUAUCUGUAUUUUUAUAGUAGGAACAGAAAAAGAAAAAAUACUUACUUCUAAGUACAAAGCAAUGUAUUCCACACACUUGGCGUUUAACCAAGGUUUCCAGAUUUCCAUUUGUCUUUUCUUAAAUUCAAGUGUACAGCUGAAAGCUAAAGGUCACUUUAUUUACCAAAAGCAAAAUGUCAACAAACAACCAUUCCCUCUUCUGCCUCCUCAAAUCAGUAUGCAUAAACCGCCUUGCAAUACUCUAAACCCUUCUCCACGGAGAUAUUAAACGAAGGCAUUAAUCCAUACAAAAUAUGUUAAUUCCUGUCUACUCAGCCCAGAGGAAGAGAAAGAUAAUGUGUCUGGAAUCAAAACGUUGUGUCUAAAUAAUCCUUUCAUAAGUCUUACUGAGCAUGCGUCCCUGGGCAUAAGGAUAGCGAUUCUGGAAGAUCUGACUUGGAAAAUACAACUCCUGGGUUGGCUGUUGAGAUAAUGAAUGCCUUUGUAAAUAAAUAAAAUCACCGCUUCUCAUUUUUCACUGACCAUACAUGUGGUGAAAAAUUUACUCUAAGAAUUAUUUCUGUUAAAUACAAUGGGAUUCUUGUAAUAACUGGACCUUAUUGCCCUCUACAAGUUAAAAUUCUAGGACUGGUGAGAUAGCUCAGUGAGUUAAAGUGUAUGCUCCGAAGCUGGCACUGACAUUAUAAAGGAAACCUGCAUCGUGCCAUCCCCAAAUGAAUUCAUACAUGAAAUACUUAUUUUUAAAAAGAUAAAAUCUAUGAGCUGCAAUGACUAGGUGAAAUUGUUAGUGAAGCCAUACUCUGUGGUUAUGAGGGGACUACCUGCAGGAAGCUCUCUAGGUCUUUGCUAAUGCGAGUGCACUGAGAAUAUCAUGUUCAAGCAGGUGAACAGUUAAAAGAUUAAUGUUUGUACUAGAAUCUGUGUGUGAUGUGGACAUUGAAGAGUUGUAGUUGUUUGAAUAAGAUGCCCCAAGAUAUUCAUAUAAUUCAAUUUUUGCUCACCAGGGAGUGGCAAGUGAUUUAAAGGACUACAAAGAAUAUGAGAUAUGGCCUUAUUGGAGUAGAUGUUGCCUUAUUCCAGACCUGUGUCAGUGGAAAUGAACUUUGCGGUUACAAAAGCCCAUGCCAGGUCUGUACUCCCCUCUUCCCUUUCCUUUUUCCUCUCCUCCCUACCCCUCUCGUCUCCCUUCCCAGUUCCCUUUCCCUCAUCUACCCCCUCUCACUCCAGAGAAAGACACAGCACUCAAAAUCUGCUACAGGGCCUAUCUGACAGCAUGCUCUCAGCCAUGAUAAUGAACGACAUUUCUGAAACUACAAGCAAGCUUCUAAUUAAAUGAUUUCUUUCACAGGAGUUGCCAAGGUCAUGGUGUCUUUUUACAGCAACAGAAUAGUGACUAAGACAGGACUCAACAGGAAAGAAUGUCAUAUGUGAUCAGUGUUUGAAAACCACACCAGAACACACAGGAUGUUUUCUCUGGUCUGGAAUCAAGAAGGAAAUCAUGCAGAGUGAGAGGUUGGUUGCUGGAGUGAAGUUUGCAGGUGUUGGUAGAAUUUGAGUUACAAUUCUUAGAUACAUGUGUGACAAGUAAGGGUACCUGUGUUACUGCCAUCUCUCUGGCUUUUAUGGAAGGUUGUAAAUAAACUUGUUUCUCGUUGUGACUCCCAGGUAAUAAUCUUUAAAACCUUAUUUUAAAAAUAAGAGUGCUUGAAAAAAAUGGGGCUCUUGGGGAAAAUAAGAUUGGGAACAGAUCACUCCAAAUGUAAUGAAAAGAGAAUUCUAAUGAGACAAUUAUAAUCUAAAGAAUAGUGGUGAAUUAAAGAAGAUGAAUUAAAUCCAAUAAAAAGAAACAAACAAAAUAACCCAAUCAUUAAAAUGUCAAGUUUGGCUUUAAAGGUAAAAGGAAAACAGUUAAGAAUAUAGAUUUUUAAAAAAGUAAGAUGAUUUUAUUUUUUAAAAGACCAGAAUAGCUGAAUUAAGGAACAAGGUCAAAAUGCAUUCAGAUCAGUACAGUGAUUUGCCAAAAAGAGCAGGUGGUCCAUUUGAGCCAUGAGAGUGGAAUACACAAGCCUGUGCCCCCCCCCCAUUUAUUUGCACCGUUCAACUAAUACAACAAACAUAACAAACAUACAAAACAAAAACAAUAUGAAACAAAGAAAUGAAGAAAAACCAACCAACUUUUGGAAAAGGAGCGUUUCAGCUGUGACCUCUUCAGUCAUUUGAACACAGUUCCGUUGUCAUCAAGCACAGGGGAACUUGCUCACAUUCCCCAUACCCUCCAUACCCUCCGAGCCACUGAGAUGGUUUCUGAGAAGGUUGUGGUGGCAGAUUCUGGAAAGAGACUCUCUGAGCUACAUUACUUGGCUUCCCACACUUGCUUGCCCACUGUUUGCUCACAUUAAAUACUUCUUAACUAAGUUUCACAUGCAAUUCCUAAAUUCCCCCCACCC